UACGGAAGGUCCGGGCGUUAUCCGGAUUUAUUGGGUUUAAAGGGAGCGCAGGCGGGGACUCAAGUCAGCCGUCAAAUGUCCGGGCUCAACCCGGGCUCGCGGUUGAAACUGUUUCCCUUGGGUGCACAAGAGGCAGGCGGAACUCGUGGUGUAGCGGUGAAAUGCAUAGAUAUCACGAAGAACCCCGAUUGCGAAGGCAGCCUGCUGGGGUGUUACCGACGCUCAUGCUCGAAGGUGCGGGUAUCAAACAGG
rnacentral:rRNA from 1 species